UGGACGUCAUGGAUGGGGCUAAGCUAGGAUUUAUGUCGGGGGGGGCAGGCUUCAUGUUGGGGGGGGCAGAAUCUCAAUUAAGUUUUUUUUAAAAUUUGAUUUACUUGAUUGGGAGGCAGCCCCCCCCCUUUGGCUACACCAGUGGGAGGGGGGGCUCCUGUUUCUGGGUUAUAUGGGCUGCCCCCGCCCCCAUGGGACAAGGUGAAGCGACAGGAUCCCCAGGGUCAGCAGGAUCUUGUUACAGUGGUGCCUCAGGUUGCAGUUCAUGAACCCAAGUCAUCACCAUUUACCUUUCUAGACGGUUUAAAUAUGUCAAUGACCCCUCUGGCUAUACAAAUGAAUAUUCUUUUUUAUGUGUCCAUCUAUGAAAGAGCAAAUCCAAGCACUGGAAACACAAACCAUUGUCCACGUGAGCUGUGGGAAGGGGCACUCACUGGCCGUUUGCAACAACAGGAGAGUUUUCUCGCGGGGAGCUGGAGCUUUUGGACAGCUGGGCACUGGAGAAUUAAAAGAGCGUUUGAUUCCAAAGGUACCUACAGAAACAAAAUGCUGUACAAGUGUAAGAUGACAGUCUGCCCUUGUUCCUUAAGGCCCACACUCAUCAGCACACAGCAGAGAUGAAAGUAGAUUGAGGGUGAGUUGAAGUGAUAAAGCUGUGAGCCAUUCAGAGUCCAACUCCUGCUCAUGAGGUUCUGCCCCCUAACCUAAACUCAGAAUGGGACAAAGAGGCUACAUAACAGAAAGGAAAUAUUUAACAUUUUUUAAAAAAUCGUUAACCAUAAUACUGGGUAUCUGUAACCGAUUGCACUUCAAGGAACACGAUCCUUUUCAUAAAGUGUAUAAUAAGCAGUUCUUUUUCAACUAUUUAGUUACAAUUCAUAUGCAAAACUUUCCCAUUCAUAGGAUGCCCUAAAUAAAAGCAUUUCUAAAUUAAAUUUGAGAUAUGCUAAUUUCUUGACUAGCUCCUAUUUGGGGCAGGGGGGGAGAGAAAGAAGAUAUUUCACAAACUACAUGCAAUGAAAUAAUAGCUUGAAUUCUGAUUUAAAUGAAAGUGGGCAAACUGAUUCCAAACACUGUGGAUGGGAAGCCAUUGGGGGGGGGGGCGUAACCUGCAGUGAUGAAAAUAAGGAGCAUCCUUUGUCCCAGCUCCCUGCCCCACUUAAUCUCUACACACAUUCACCCCAUCUCCCAAAGCUGCUUUUCUU